rnacentral:lncRNA from 1 species
AAAGAGAAACACACGCGAAUAAUUUGAGACGGAGGGCGUACUGCUUAUAGGUAGAAUCUUCUAUCCCUCAACUAUGUCAAGCCAUUCUACCAUUUGCUAACAUGCAAACAGUCAUCAUAUUGAUACUUUCUUGUAAGAAGUUGUACACGGAUUAUAGUUUUUCUGUAGGUUGUAAUCUCAUAACCAUCCCUCUAAAUGACUACUUUUCUUGUUUGCAGUUACUUUUUUCAUUUUAUGUUUAAUAAUUUGUUUUAGGGUUGGUGAUGAGAGUUGGUCAAAGUUGUAAUCUGAGGUUUCUGCUAUUCUGUGUACCACUGGUUGAACUUCAUCAAUUACCUUUUGAGCAGGGGAACAACUACUUUGAGAUUGACAGUGACGUUUAUCGUUUCAGCUACAUAUCUAGGGAAAGACUUGAUGCUUUUCGUGAACAGCUUAAGCAUGGAAUCAUUGAUCAGGUUUAACUAUCCCCAAAAACCCUUUUCUCCGCUUUGAUAGUUUACAUCUCUAGAGUUGAUAUUAAGCAUUUUUUAUAAUGCAGGCACAGAAGCCAGAGGAGCUACUACAUAGUUUUGUGCUGCAGCCGAUUGUUUUGUAAAUCACGGCCAGAUACCUCAACUUGUGACUUGUUGAAAACUGUGUUGAUUGGAAUUUAGGGUACACUUGUAUAUGAAACCUAUGCUGUGAAAUGGAAAG